UGAACAGUUUUCAAUAUGUCGAACAAUAUGAGAGUUACAUACUUAUACUAUAUAGAAUGGUAUGAAUAACCUAUAGCAAACUGUAACAAUAAAUUGAAGUGUUCAGAUAUUGUGCAACGUUUUGGGGAGAUAAUUGGUAUCACAAUACCACUGACGAUGAAGGUGCUGAACGAGAAUGGUAACGGUUUCUCGGUGGGUAAACGAUAACGAGCAACAACAACCAUCCGGACAGUGCCGAUGUUACAAGGAUCGAGUAUCCUUGUGGAAAAAAAAUGCUCCUUGCUCCUCGAAAAACAUUCCUCAAUGUUCCCUGCGCAGCUGUGUCCAGCACCUAUGGAAAUUUUACCGGAGAUGUUCAAUAGGAUGCAGGAAUUGCCGUCGUGUACGUGAUCGAACCUAUCAUUAUGGACGACACUUUCAAGGAUCCACAGAGGAACGAUGUCUAAUAGAGCAGCCGGGUGAAACGAUGUGCCCAUUUAAGAAGAAAAUCAGUGUUCUGAACUUAGCUUUGAUAGAAUAAAUUCAUAGCAUCUAAAAUCACUACGCUAUGCAAUAAAAGAAAAAAA